GUGGGGAAUCUUGCGCAAUGGGCGAAAGCCUGACGCAGCCAUGCCGCGUGAAUGAUGAAGGUCUUAGGAUUGUAAAAUUCUUUCACCGGGGACGAUAAUGACGGUACCCGGAGAAGAAGCCCCGGCUAACUUCGUGCCAGCAGCCGCGGUAAUACGAAGGGGGCUAGCGUUGCUCGGAAUUACUGGGCGUAAAGGGCGCGUAGGCGGACAGUUUAGUCAGAGGUGAAAGCCCAGGGCUCAACCUUGGAAUUGCCUUUGAUACUGGCUGUCUUGAGUACGGGAGAGGUGAGUGGAACUCCGAGUGUAGAGGUGAAAUUCGUAGAUAUUCGGAGGAACACCAGUGGCGAAGGCGGCUCACUGGCUCGAUACUGACGCUGAGGUGCGAAAGCGUUGGGAGCAAACAGGAUUAGAUACCCGAGUAGUCC
rnacentral:rRNA from 1 species